GAUGUACUCCCUCCGUCCCAUAUUAAGUGACUCAAAUUUGUCCAAAUAUGGAUGUAUCUAUGCUUAAAAAGCGUCUAGAUACAUGUAAUAGAAAGUCACUUAAUAUGGGACGGAGGGAGUAUAUC
rfam:Brachypodium distachyon strain Bd21 chromosome 1, whole genome shotgun sequence.